AGUGAACGCUGGCGGUAGGCCUAACACAUGCAAGUCGAACGGCAGCACAGUAAGAGCCUGCUCUUACGGGUGGCGAGUGGCGGACGGGUGAGGAAUACAUCGGAAUCUACUUUUUCGUGGGGGAUAACGUAGGGAAACUUACGCUAAUACCGCAUACGACCUACGGGUGAAAGCAGGGGAUCUUCGGACCUUGCGCGAUUGAAUGAGCCGAUGUCGGAUUAGCUAGUUGGCGGGGUAAAGGCCCACCAAGGCGACGAUCCGUAGCUGGUCUGAGAGGAUGAUCAGCCACACUGGAACUGAGACACGGUCCAGACUCCUACGGGAGGCAGCAGUGGGGAAUAUUGGACAAUGGGCGCAAGCCUGAUCCAGCCAUACCGCGUGGGUGAAGAAGGCCUUCGGGUUGUAAAGCCCUUUGUUGGGAAAGAAAAGCAGCAGGUUAAUACCCCGCUGUUCUGACGGUACCCAAAGAAUAAGCACCGGCUAACUUCGUG
rnacentral:rRNA from 1 species